UACGUAGGGUGCAAGCGUUAAUCGGAAUUACUGGGCGUAAAGCGUGCGCAGGCGGUGAUGUAAGACAGGUGUGAAAUCCCCGGGCUUAACCUGGGAACUGCAUUUGUGACUGCAUCGCUGGAGUGCGGCAGAGGGGGAUGGAAUUCCGCGUGUAGCAGUGAAAUGCGUAGAUAUGCGGAGGAACACCGAUGGCGAAGGCAAUCCCCUGGGCCUGCACUGACGCUCAUGCACGAAAGUGUGGGGAGCAAACAGG
rnacentral:rRNA from 1 species